GACGAACGCUGGCGGCGUGCUUAACACAUGCAAGUCGAACGAUGAAGAAGAGCUUGCUCUUCGGAUUAGUGGCGAACGGGUGAGUAACACGUGACUAACCUGCCCCUUUCUCUGGGAUAACGCUCCGAAAGGAGUGCUAAUACCGGAUACUCACAUCGAGGCACAUGCCUUGAUGUGGAAAGUUUUUCGGAAAGGGAUGGAGUCGCGGCCUAUCAGCUUGUUGGGGAGGUAACGGCUCACCAAGGCGACGACGGGUAGCCGGCCUGAGAGGGCGACCGGCCACACUGGGACUGAGACACGGCCCAGACUCCUACGGGGGGCAGCAGUGGGGAAUAUUGCACAAUGGGCGAAAGCCUGAUGCAGGGACGCCGCGUGAGGGAUGAAGGUCUUCGGAUUGUAAACCUCUUUCAGUAGGGACGAAGCGAAAGUGACGGUACCUAAAGAAGAAACACCGGCUAACUACGUGCCAGCAGCCGCCGUAA
rnacentral:rRNA from 1 species